GGUUAAGCGACUAAGCGUACACGGUGGAUGCCCUGGCAGUCAGAGGCGAUGAAGGACGUGCUAAUCUGCGAUAAGCGUCGGUAAGGUGAUAUGAACCGUUAUAACCGGCGAUUUCCGAAUGGGGAAACCCAGUGUGAUUCGUCACACUAUCAUUAACUGAAUCCAUAGGUUAAUGAGGCGAACCGGGGGAACUGAAACAUCUAAGUACCCCGAGGAAAAGAAAUCAACCGAGAUUCCCCCAGUAGCGGCGAGCGAACGGGGAGAAGCCCAGAGCCUGAAUCAGUGUGUGUGUUAGUGGAAGCGUCUGGAAAGGCGCGCGAUACAGGGUGACAGCCCCGUACACAAAAAUGCACAUAUUGUGAGCUCGAUGAGUAGGGCGGGACACGUGGUAUCCUGUCUGAAUAUGGGGGGACCAUCCUCCAAGGCUAAAUACUCCUGACUGACCGAUAGUGAACCAGUACCGUGAGGGAAAGGCGAAAAGAACCCCGGCGAGGGGAGUGAAAAAGAACCUGAAACCGUGUACGUACAAGCAGUGGGAGCCUCUUUAUGGGGUGACUGCGUACCUUUUGUAUAAUGGGUCAGCGACUUAUAUUCUGUAGCAAGGUUAACCGAAUAGGGGAGCCGAAGGGAAACCGAGUCUUAACUGGGCGUUAAGUUGCAGGGUAUAGACCCGAAACCCGGUGAUCUAGCCAUGGGCAGGUUGAAGGUUGGGUAACACUAACUGGAGGACCGAACCGACUAAUGUUGAAAAAUUAGCGGAUGACUUGUGGCUGGGGGUGAAAGGCCAAUCAAACCGGGAGAUAGCUGGUUCUCCCCGAAAGCUAUUUAGGUAGCGCCUCGUGAAUUCAUCUCCGGGGGUAGAGCACUGUUUCGGCAAGGGGGUCAUCCCGACUUACCAACCCGAUGCAAACUGCGAAUACCGGAGAAUGUUAUCACGGGAGACACACGGCGGGUGCUAACGUCCGUCGUGAAGAGGGAAACAACCCAGACCGCCAGCUAAGGUCCCAAAGUCAUGGUUAAGUGGGAAACGAUGUGGGAAGGCCCAGACAGCCAGGAUGUUGGCUUAGAAGCAGCCAUCAUUUAAAGAAAGCGUAAUAGCUCACUGGUCGAGUCGGCCUGCGCGGAAGAUGUAACGGGGCUAAACCAUGCACCGAAGCUGCGGCAGCGACGCUUAUGCGUUGUUGGGUAGGGGAGCGUUCUGUAAGCCUGUGAAGGUGUGCUGUGAGGCAUGCUGGAGGUAUCAGAAGUGCGAAUGCUGACAUAAGUAACGAUAAAGCGGGUGAAAAGCCCGCUCGCCGGAAGACCAAGGGUUCCUGUCCAACGUUAAUCGGGGCAGGGUGAGUCGACCCCUAAGGCGAGGCCGAAAGGCGUAGUCGAUGGGAAACAGGUUAAUAUUCCUGUACUUGGUGUUACUGCGAAGGGGGGACGGAGAAGGCUAUGUUGGCCGGGCGACGGUUGUCCCGGUUUAAGCGUGUAGGCUGGUUUUCCAGGCAAAUCCGGAAAAUCAAGGCUGAGGCGUGAUGACGAGGCACUACGGUGCUGAAGUGACAAAUGCCCUGCUUCCAGGAAAAGCCUCUAAGCAUCAGGUAACAACAAAUCGUACCCCAAACCGACACAGGUGGUCAGGUAGAGAAUACCAAGGCGCUUGAGAGAACUCGGGUGAAGGAACUAGGCAAAAUGGUGCCGUAACUUCGGGAGAAGGCACGCUGAUAUGUAGGUGAAGCGACUUGCUCGUGGAGCUGAAAUCAGUCGAAGAUACCAGCUGGCUGCAACUGUUUAUUAAAAACACAGCACUGUGCAAACACGAAAGUGGACGUAUACGGUGUGACGCCUGCCCGGUGCCGGAAGGUUAAUUGAUGGGGUUAGCGGUAACGCGAAGCUCUUGAUCGAAGCCCCGGUAAACGGCGGCCGUAACUAUAACGGUCCUAAGGUAGCGAAAUUCCUUGUCGGGUAAGUUCCGACCUGCACGAAUGGCGUAAUGAUGGCCAGGCUGUCUCCACCCGAGACUCAGUGAAAUUGAACUCGCUGUGAAGAUGCAGUGUACCCGCGGCAAGACGGAAAGACCCCGUGAACCUUUACUAUAGCUUGACACUGAACAUUGAGCCUUGAUGUGUAGGAUAGGUGGGAGGCUUUGAAGUGUGGACGCCAGUCUGCAUGGAGCCGACCUUGAAAUACCACCCUUUAAUGUUUGAUGUUCUAACGUGGACCCGUGAUCCGGGUUGCGGACAGUGUCUGGUGGGUAGUUUGACUGGGGCGGUCUCCUCCUAAAGAGUAACGGAGGAGCACGAAGGUUGGCUAAUCCUGGUCGGACAUCAGGAGGUUAGUGCAAUGGCAUAAGCCAGCUUGACUGCGAGCGUGACGGCGCGAGCAGGUGCGAAAGCAGGUCAUAGUGAUCCGGUGGUUCUGAAUGGAAGGGCCAUCGCUCAACGGAUAAAAGGUACUCCGGGGAUAACAGGCUGAUACCGCCCAAGAGUUCAUAUCGACGGCGGUGUUUGGCACCUCGAUGUCGGCUCAUCACAUCCUGGGGCUGAAGUAGGUCCCAAGGGUAUGGCUGUUCGCCAUUUAAAGUGGUACGCGAGCUGGGUUUAGAACGUCGUGAGACAGUUCGGUCCCUAUCUGCCGUGGGCGCUGGAGAAUUGAGGGGGGCUGCUCCUAGUACGAGAGGACCGGAGUGGACGCAUCACUGGUGUUCGGGUUGUCAUGCCAAUGGCACUGCCCGGUAGCUAAAUGCGGAAGAGAUAAGUGCUGAAAGCAUCUAAGCACGAAACUUGCCCCGAGAUGAGUUCUCCCUGACCCUUUAAGGGUCCUGAAGGAACGUUGAAGACGACGACGUUGAUAGGCCGGGUGUGUAAGCGCAGCGAUGCGUUGAGCUAACCGGUACUAAUGAACCGUGAGGCUUAACCUU
rnacentral:rRNA from 2 species